UGGCCGCAGUAUCCUAACUGUGCAAAGGUAGCAUAAUCAUUAGUCUUUUAAUUGAAGGCUGGAAUGAAUGGUUGGAUGAAAUAUUAACUGUUUCAUAGAAAUUUAUAAUAGAAUUUUAUUUUUUAGUCAAAAAGCUAAAAUGAAAUUAAAAGACGAGAAGACCCUAUAAAUCUUUAUAUUUAGAAAAUUACAAUUAUUUAGAUAAUUUAAAUUUUAAUUUUUUUAAGUAUUUUAUUGGGGUGAUAUUAAAAUUUAAUAAACUUUUAAUUUAUUAUAAACAUAAAUUAAUGAAUUUUUGAUCCAUAUUUAAUGAUUAAAAAAUUAAGUUACUUUAGGGAUAACAGCGUAAUUUUUUUAGAGAGUUCAUAUUGAUAAAAAAGAUUGCGACCUCGAUGUUGGAUUAAGAUACAGUUUUAGGUGCAGCAGCUUAAACUUAAAGUCUGUUCGACUUUUAAAUUCU
rnacentral:rRNA from 1 species